ACCUCUUCCCAUCCCGAACAGAGAAGUUAAGCCCGGAACCGCCGAUGAUACUUGGGUCAAACCUGGUAAAGUAGGUAGCCGCCACAA
rnacentral:rRNA from 1 species